UGUCACUGCUGAAACAUGCCACCUACCACGUUGCUGUGCUCACAUCUGCUGUUUGGUCUCCAUAAAUGUCUGAAAAAUGUCCAUGAAUGCCAAUAAGUUCCAUUCAACCUCUAAUGCCAGACACCAACAUCUGCCUCUAAUGUUGUGGGUCAGUGUAAUCAAAUAGGAGGCAUCACUUUUGGGGAAGCUCUCCUAAAUUUGGAGUAGCUCAGUACUUGAACCAUAGUGACUGAAACAGAAAUUUGCACCUAGCAAAAGUGCUACUGUUUCAUUGGGCUCUUUUCUUGUUUAAUGUAACAAAUGCACCAGUUUUCUAACAACAACUUUAAACACCAUUCAUCAAUAAAUCCAUUGCUCUGCUCAGCUUGUAUUACGUGCCACUGAUUAACUACCAUUAAAUUAGCAGUUAGUGUAAUCAGAUAUAAACAUUCCUUUGUGGCUAAGCUGUUAAACUUUUUUCCUUUUUACAAUUGCAUGUAGCACAUGUCGGCACGAGACGGGCUCUGUAAUUUCGCAUUACUGCAGCUAAAUUAUGUUUGUGGGCUCCAGAAACGCUUCUGGUGCUACCAGGCUCAUAAACACCUACCUGGCAGGGAAAAGCUACAACUUCUGCCCCAGAGCAUUGGGGAUUUAACAGAAUUCAGCAUAGUACAGUGACUGAAUUUAUUGCACAAGUGUACUUGUGGGCUAUGGACAAGCGAUUGAUAUGAGGAGCUCAGAACUGGUCUGCUGCCCUUUGCUAAUUUUCACGCUGGGUCAUGUUAUUAAUAGAUGUAAGUAAGCCUUGCUGUGAGGGGACAUGACAGAAAAGCAGACCUCUGGAGUUUAAAAGGACAGCAAUGUAACUCUGUGAUUUUCAGCUCUAGGGACCAAGAACUAUUUCAAGCUGUAGUACUCAGAAAUGAAUUCUGAUUUUACAAAUGGAAAAAUUUAUAGGUGCUUAUUUGUACUGUAGAAUAACUAUAUUUUAUGUGUAAGUCUCAAAUUCCAGGCAUUUUGGAAAAUCUUUUAUAGACAAACAAAACACACAGCUGCAGUCAUACUCAGAAGCCAUUUUCCUUUGAGCCUGCACAGUACAGAAUGUGCAGAAACAACGAUACAAAUUGUGAGCUGAGGUUUGAGGUACUAAGAGACUUUACGCUUCAGGAGAUGUGAAAAACAUCUAGCUGGACUGAAGAGAUGGCAACAAGGUCACCAUAUGGAUGCAGCCAGAUGCAAAGGGCAGAAGCCCUACAACCAAGCUCAGAAGUUUCUGUUGUGAAUAGUAUCCUUGGAAAUGACCCUCUGGUUAAAAACAAAGCAAUAAUAAAUCCCUGCGAAAAACAGAGGUCUGAGUUUCUCUGAACGUCAUUACCUUCAAAAGCCAUCAGACCCUGUGCUGUGUCAGGGUGGCACUGUGGAGAAGACGGAGUGGUUGGAAAGGAGGGCUGGUAACAAUGUAGUUACACAGAGAUACCAUCAGAUACUGUCCAGGCUGCAGGUAAGAACGUUUGUCUGUGUACCAGGCUGGAACAAAUAGAUACAAUGUGGUUUCAGAGCUUCCCCACUUUGCAAAGUUCGCACCACUGAGGAGUAGCGAGGCACAGCCACACCUUAAAAGCAAAGUCAGUGGGAAGAAAAACCUCAUAGCAAAGAAUCUAAAGAAUCACUGAAUCACAGAAUAGCUUGGGUUGGAAGGGACAUCAGAGAUCAUCCAGUCCCACCCCCAGCCGUGGGCAGGGCUGUGCCCUCUCCCCACACCCCCACCCCAUUCCCGGGCUCCAGCUCAGGAUGCCCACGGUCCCAUCCAACCUGGCUUUAUCUACCUCUAGGGAUGGCGCAGCACAGCUUCUCUGGGUAGUAGUCACAGUGCCUCAGCUCGGUGGUUAUAGCUCAGAAACAUUUACCCCGUGUAGCAUUGGGGGAGGGGACUGUUUGCACACAGCUACUCGCAUCCUGGCUGUGCCGGGAGGUGCCAGACAGCUCCUGGGAGCUUAUGUAGACCAAGUGCACUGGGGACUUGCUACCAUAUUGCUCUCAUCAGAACAAACAAUGCUUAAAGUAUCUGUGAGAGGUGACCGAGUGCUUUUGGCAUGUCCUCGGGGGAGAAUAAGCCAUGGGGAACUCACACUGGCUUUUCUAAACGUUUGCUGGAGAAGCUCUCAGAUACAUUAUUCACAGGCUGGCAGAGGGAGCUCAGUCUCUUGGCACUGCAGACUGUGGGAGCUGGGCAGCCGCUGGGAGGAGCGAGGAAGCAGCUGAACCGUGCAAACCUCUGCCUGUGCCCUGCUUACUGACCUUCACCCUUGUACAGUUGUGGGAUGGUGCCAGCGUGCCAGGGGGAGCAGGAGGGCUGCUGCAGGUUCUGAGGGCACCUUCCACGCUGGGCUCUUCUGCACAGUGUCCUGCUGUGUUAUUAAAUUCUUCUGGAGCUGUUCUGACCUAAGCUAACUGCUUUUCUAUUGACAUCAACUUUUGCCACUUCAGCCUUCACCCCGACAUUAUUAAUACAGGAUUAAACAAUUUUGGUCUGCAUCCUGAUCUCUAGAGCACCUCAUUAUUAAUCUCUUUCCCGACCAGAACUGGUCAUUUAUUCCAUCCCUAUUUAUAACUGGAUUUUAAUUCUGUGGUUACCAAGUUUCCUUAACAGUUUCUUGAAUGGGUAUUUAUCAAAAGGUUUUUGAAUGUUCAAAUAAUUUAUAUCCUCUGUUUCUCCUUUCCCCAUUAUUUUACUAAUGCUUAAAAGUGUAAAGGUCCAACCGGCAGGAUUUAGUCUUAAAGUAGUUAUGUUACUUCUUGCCUUUGCUUGAGACUUGGUAUUUCCUUGCAAUUUGUACAAUGUGUAGAGCAACAGCUCUCUAAAUCUUGUGGCUUGAAGCAGCACCAAAUGUGUUGUCAAUGCUUAAUUAAAAAUAAGAGUAAACGUAAUACAUCAGUGAUAUUCUCAACUACUUCUUUGCAAUGAAGUUAAGCCAGUAAUGUACCAUUUCCAUGAGCUCGCUCUCUCUGUGUAAAUAUUUACAGGGUCUUUAUCGCUGCGGUACCAGAUUUCCCUGUGCAGGAGCAGAGUUAUCCUCACAACACCUCCGUGAUAUGGGCAGCCUUUCAUCCCAACUGACUGAUGGAGAAUCAGGGCACGCUGACAUCUGGCACAUAAAAAUCAAGUGUUUUGAGAACGCAGGACAGGAGAUAAAGCACCUUCCCCCCACUUACAGAUGCUGCAUUCACAAAUGAAAAACAAAAAUGCAAGAAUCAUCACAAUUCAUAAAUGCAAUCACACACAGCCACAGUGCCCCCAGCACCUCUUCCCAAGCUCUUUAAAGCCAGAACUUAUGUUUCCCUUUGGAGAAAAUGCAAAGCUGUGAUGGUAGGGCCUGAGCUUUUCCUUUUUGCAGGCUGUCUGCACUUGCAGGUUUUUGCUGGCUCUGCCACUGACCAUUUAUUUUGGACUCACACCACACACUUCAGGUUUCAAUCUGCAGUUUUGCUGCAGCCAGAACUAAUACAAUUGGCUGCAUCUCAGCUUGCUUCAAAUGGACAAGGGAGUGAGUUUCCUGAGAGAAAAGGAAGAAACAACAUUCAAGAAAGAUCUUGUUUAAAAAGUACCAUAAAGAUUUUGCCAUGUAAGAACACUCUCUAAAGAAGACAAAACCUAUAUGUUCAAGGGACUGGAGUCUGGCAGAGCGGAGAAUGAUGGAGAGCUUGGCUGUGAAGAAGCCCACACCUAGAGGCACAGCCCUGAGUGUUCAAGGGAUCUUGGGCCUCCUGGAUCAGUCUUUCAAACAAAAAAGCUCCCCUUCCACACAAACAACCAGAACAGGUGGCUAGGAAUUCAAAAGAAUAUGAUGUCCUUUCAGAGAGUAUGAACUUCUAAAUGCCAAAGAGGAGCAGUGCAAGCACACAAAUCUUCUGGAAGAACCAUUGACCCUGCAGAAGCUCUGACAGAUCCCAGCUCCCACAGACGUGUUUCCAGUUGUGGUUUUUAACUGAGGACCUGAAGCGGCCCAUGCUUGGAAUUCAUGGAAUCAUUAGGGUUGGUAAAGACCUCUGUGAUCAUCUGAUGACAGCAACAAACCCGAGGAAAUGGCAUGUAGCUGCUUCUGUUGAGGGUUGGAGGGGGGUUAGGAAAAGGGUCUGCUCCAGAGGGUGGUAGGCAUGACACAGGCUGCCCAGGGCAGUGGGCACAGCCCAGAGCUGCUGGACUUCGAGGAGUGUUUGGACAGUGCCAACAGACAUAGGGUUUGAGUUUUUGGUGUUCCUGUGUGCAGCCAGGGGUUGGACUCAGUGGUUCCUGUGGGUCUAUAUUCUGUGGUUCUGUGAUUCUACAACCUAGUCCAGUCGUCAUCCCACCCUCCCAGCAGCGUUGCCAACUUGAAAGCCCCGCGGGUGCCUCCAGUGCCGUGAGGUCAGGGAUGCUCUCGGCGUUGCGUCCCGCGUGCGGACACGGGGGAGCGGCGGGGCAGAGGGAAGCCCCGGGCCGGCUCCGUUGGGGAGCAGCGCGGCCCCGCGGGCUGUUUGCUGUCGGCCGCAGCUCGCUGUUGACUUUGCCCGGUAGCUGUGUUUACAGAGCCGUGUUGGUUUUGCUGGCAGCGCGCUGUAGUGAGGCCGCAGCCCCUCUCGCCGUGCCGCCCGCCCGCCUCGCCGCCCUAAUCAGCGGCAGGCCCCGGGCACGGGGUAAUUAGAACCAUGGAGGGGCUCUCUGGCGUUUGAAAUCUGCCUCUCGACAUCAAAGGGCUCCGCACAAGUCGUCCUCCAGAGGUCGGCUCCCAUAUCUAAAUGAGCGAUGUAUUUCAUGGUAUCUGUCGGGAGGGAUACAAUGAAGAAAAGCGGCUCGGAGAUGGGGCGCGAUGGGAAAAGCAGGUGGGCCGCUUUCAUCUGCGGCGAAGCAUCUGUUUUGCGGUCGGGGCUCUCCGCUGCCGUGCACCGCGCAUUCGAGGCGGGCGCGGAGCUUCCGCGGACGCGCAGCCCCCCGUCGCCGGGCAGCACAGUGCCCCUAAACCACGAUUGUUCCAACGACUUCAUCCCGUCCCCGUUUUUGCAGACCUGGAGGGUGCUGGCUGGUACCGAACCGGUCCUAAAUCCCCAUUCGAACACGGAAGGCUGCAAGCGUGCAACGCUUUAGGACAGAAACCAUCGGGGAAUGGGGAGAGCGAGGCUCCGGGGCUACAGGGCGAUCCGCAGGGCAGAAGCCCCCUCCCCCUCCCCAGGCAGCGGCGGGGAGGCUUUAUAGGAGGCGGUGAUUACGCGCCCCGCUCUGUUUAUGGGGUGAUUACGGCCCCGCGGGGCCGGAGGCUGAGCCGCCCCGAGCUCCCGGGAGAGCCGAGGCUGAUUUCUUCCAUUUUUAUUUAUGUGCAUGCCGUGUGUAUUGCCCCGAUGGCCGUCCCUCUCCCUCCUUGGAAGCGAUUUCCCACUGCCAUUGUGGUGAACUUUGCCUCUCCGGGCUCUUAGCGGCUUUCCUCCCGCUGAUGGGCUCUCCUUUGUGGCAGCGGCUCGGCUGAUUGUGCUCGUUAAUUAGUUGCUAACAGCGUCGUAAUGUGGCCUUGAUGGAUAACCGUGUCAUUAGCGCUCCCCCCGGCGAUUCGCACCUCCGGCAGCGCGAGGGCUGCGAUUAACAGCUCCAUCCCGAGCGUGUGACACGUUCCCUGCGGUACCGCUUCCCCACGGCCACGCGCGUCCCUCGGGGCCGUGGCACAUUUCGGGGCAGCUCCCGCAUUCCCCCGACGGCGGCGCCCCAGCCCCAGCCCCGCCGGAGAAGGAGCACGGGGCCGCGGUUCCCGUCGGGGG